CCUACGGUGUGCAGCAGUGAGGAAUAUUGGUCAAUGGGCGCGAGCCUGCACCAGCCAAGUAGCGUGAAGGAUGACUGCCCUACGGGUUGUAAACUUCUUUUAUAAAGGAAUAAAGUGAUGCACGUGUGCCUUUUUGUAUGUACUUUAUGAAUAAGGAUCGGCUAACUCCGUGCCAGCAGCCGCGGUAAUCCGGAGGAUCCGAGCGUUAUCCGGAUUUAUUGGGUUUAAAGGGCGCGUAGAUGGGUUGUUAAGUCAGUUGUGAAAGUUUGCGGCUCAACCGUAAAAUUGCAAUUGAUACUGGCAGCCGUGAGGACAGUUGAGGUAGGCGGAAUUCGUGGUGGAGCGGUGAAAUGCUUAGAGAUCACGAAGAACGCCGAUUGCGAAGGCAGCUUACUAAACUGCCACUGACAUUGAUGCUCGAAAGUGUGGGUAUCAAACAGGAGUAGAUACCCGUGUAGUC
rnacentral:rRNA from 1 species